rnacentral:rRNA from 1 species
UACGUAGGGGGCUAGCGUUGUCCGGAAUCAUUGGGCGUAAAGCGCGUGUAGGCGGUCCGGUAAGUCCGCUGUGAAAGUCGAGGGCUCAACCCUCGAAUGCCGGUGGAUACUGUCGGUCUAGAGUGAGGAAGAGGAAAGUGGAAUUCCGCGUGUAGUGGUGAAAUGCGUAGAGAUGCGGAGGAACACCAGUGGCGAAAGCGGCUUUCUGGUCCUUAACUGACGCUGAGGCGCGAAAGCAUGGGGAGCGAACGGG